UCGGGUAUGGUGUAGCGGUAACAUCUGCGACUCUCACUCGCAAGCCCGGGGUUCGACUCCCCGUAUCCGAG
rnacentral:tRNA from 2 species